rnacentral:rRNA from 1 species
UAAAAAAAGGUAAGCUACUAAGAGCGAAUGGUGGAUGCCUUGACUGGUAAAGGCGAUGAAGGACGUACUAGACUGCGAUAAGCUACGGGGAGCUGUCAAGAAGCUUUGAUCCGUAGAUUUCCGAAUGGGGCAACCCAAUGUAUAGAGAUAUACAUUACCUAUAUAGGAGCGAACGAGGGGAAUUGAAACAUCUUAGUACCCUCAGGAAAAGAAAUCAAUAGAGAUUGCGUCAGUAGCGGCGAGCGAAAGCGCAAGAGGGCAAACCCAGUGCUUGCACUGGGGGUUGUAGGACUGCAAUGUGCAAGAGGUAAGUUUAGCAGAACAUUCUGGAAAGUAUAGCCAUAGAGGGUGAUAGUCCCGUAUGCGAAAAACAAACCUUAGCUAGCAGUAUCCUGAGUAGGGCGGGACACGAGAAAUCCUGUCUGAAGCUGGGUCGACCACGAUCCAACCCUAAAUACUAAUACCAGAUCGAUAGUGCACAAGUACCGUGAGGGAAAGGUGAAAAGAACUGAGGUGAUCAGAGUGAAAUAGAACCUGAAACCAUUUGCUUACAAUCAUUCAGAGCCCUAUGUAGCAAUACAGGGUGAUGGACUGCCUUUUGCAUAAUGAGCCUGCGAGUUGUGGUGUCUGGCAAGGUUAAGCAAACGCGAAGCCGUAGCGAAAGCGAGUCUGAAUAGGGCGCUUAGUCAGAUGCUGCAGACCCGAAACGAAGUGAUCUAUCCAUGAGCAAGUUGAAGCUAGUGUAAGAACUAGUGGAGGACUGAACCCAUAGGCGUUGAAAAGCCCCGGGAUGACUUGUGGAUAGGGGUGAAAGGCCAAUCAAACUUCGUGAUAGCUGGUUCUCUCCGAAAUAUAUUUAGGUAUAGCGUUGUGUCGUAAUAUAAGGGGGUAGAGCACUGAAUGGGCUAGGGCAUACACCAAUGUACCAAACCCUAUCAAACUCCGAAUACCUUAUAUGUAAUCACAGCAGUCAGGCGGCGAGUGAUAAAAUCCGUCGUCAAGAGGGAAACAACCCAGACUACCAGCUAAGGUCCCUAAAUCUUACUUAAGUGGAAAACGAUGUGAAGUUACUUAAACAACCAGGAGGUUGGCUUAGAAGCAGCCAUCCUUUAAAGAAAGCGUAAUAGCUCACUGGUCUAGUGAUUUUGCGCGGAAAAUAUAACGGGGCUAAAGUAAGUACCGAAGCUGUAGACUUGCACACAACUUAGAUUAUUUAAGUUUAGAAUAUGAGAAACUAAGUUAUAUGUUUAGUUAUAUUUUUACUGAUUUUUAUAGAGUAAAGAUAGAAAUAAAACUUAGUAAAAUCAGUAAAAAUAUUCUUAGACUAAAGUUAAGUAGUUUAAGUUGUGUGCAAGUGGUAGGAGAGCGUUCUAUUUGCGUCGAAGGUAUACCGGUAAGGAGUGCUGGAGCGAAUAGAAGUGAGCAUGCAGGCAUGAGUAGCGAUAAUUAAUGUGAGAAUCAUUAACGCCGUAAACCCAAGGUUUCCUACGCGAUGCUCGUCAUCGUAGGGUUAGUCGGGUCCUAAGUCGAGUCCGAAAGGGGUAGACGAUGGCAAAUUGGUUAAUAUUCCAAUACCAACAUUAGUGUGCGAUGGAAGGACGCUUAGGGCUAAGGGGGCUAGCGGAUGGAAGUGCUAGUCUAAGGUCGUAGGAGGUUAUACAGGCAAAUCCGUAUAACAAUACUCCGAGAACUGAAAGGCUUUUUGAAGUCUUCGGAUGGAUAGAAGAACCCCUGAUGCCGUCGAGCCAAGAAAAGUUUCUAAGUUUAGCUAAUGUUGCCCGUACCGUAAACCGACACAGGUGGGUGGGAUGAGUAUUCUAAGGCGCGUGGAAGAACUCUCUUUAAGGAACUCUGCAAAAUAGCACCGUAUCUUCGGUAUAAGGUGUGGUUCGCUUCGUAUUAGGAUUUACUCCGAAAGCGAAGAAACUUACAACAAAGAGUCCCUCCCGACUGUUUACCAAAAACACAGCACUCUGCUAACUCGUAAGAGGAUGUAUAGGGUGUGACGCCUGCCCGGUGCUCGAAGGUUAAUUGAUGGGGUUAGCAUUAGCGAAGCUCUUGAUCGAAGCCCGAGUAAACGGCGGCCGUAACUAUAACGGUCCUAAGGUAGCGAAAUUCCUUGUCGGUUAAAUACCGACCUGCAUGAAUGGCGUAACGAGAUGGGAGCUGUCUCAAAGAGGGAUCCAGUGAAAUUGUAGUGGAGGUGAAAAUUCCUCCUACCCGCGGCAAGACGGAAAGACCCCGUGGACCUUUACUACAGCUUGACACUGCUAUUUGGAUAAGAAUGUGCAGGAUAGGUGGGAGGCUUUGAGUAUAUGACGCCAGUUGUAUAUGAGCCAUUGUUGAGAUACCACUCUUUCUUAUUUGGGUAGCUAACCAGCUUGAGUUAUCCUCAAGUGGGACAAUGUCUGGUGGGUAGUUUGACUGGGGCGGUCGCCUCCCAAAUAAUAACGGAGGCUUACAAAGGUUGGCUCAGAACGGUUGGAAAUCGUUCGUAGAGUAUAAAGGUAUAAGCCAGCUUAACUGCAAGACAUACAAGUCAAGCAGAGACGAAAGUCGGUCUUAGUGAUCCGGUGGUUCUGUGUGGAAGGGCCAUCGCUCAAAGGAUAAAAGGUACCCCGGGGAUAACAGGCUGAUCUCCCCCAAGAGCUCACAUCGACGGGGAGGUUUGGCACCUCGAUGUCGGCUCAUCGCAUCCUGGGGCUGGAGCAGGUCCCAAGGGUAUGGCUGUUCGCCAUUUAAAGCGGUACGCGAGCUGGGUUCAGAACGUCGUGAGACAGUUCGGUCCCUAUCUGCCGUGGGCGUAAGAAGAUUGAAGAGAUUUGACCCUAGUACGAGAGGACCGGGUUGAACAAACCACUGGUGUAGCUGUUGUUCUGCCAAGAGCAUCGCAGCGUAGCUAAGUUUGGAAAGGAUAAACGCUGAAAGCAUCUAAGCGUGAAGCCAACUCUAAGAUGAAUCUUCUCUAAGCUCUCUAGAAGACUACUAGUUUGAUAGGCUGGGUGUGUAAUGGAUGAAAGUCCUUUAGCUGACCAGUACUAAUAGAGCGUUUGGCUUAUCUUUAAUAAAGCAU